CACCAAGUUACCAUGUGACCUGAACUGCC
rnacentral:piRNA from 1 species